AGCACCUCUCUGUCAUUACCCUGAAUCUCUGUAGGUCGAAAGGCGGGAAUCCACUUGCCGACGCAUGUUAAGCCCCAGACUUCUGUGUGUCUCCACGAGGAGAAUGUCAGGCUGCCCCAGAAAGUGUUCUGCUUGUUGUAAAAGACGGAAUUUGCUGUUGAAGUCACAGUUUGCAAUCUUGAUGUUCACGCCAGCCUCUGAGGGUUUGUCUGCCUUGAAGGACAAUGCGCUUCUGAUAGUAGCUCCCACUAUUAGACAGUACUGUUGGAA
rnacentral:lncRNA from 1 species